UGAGUAACACGUACUUAACGUGCCCUCUAGAUUGGAAUAACGCUGAGAAAUUAGCGCUAAUGCCGGAUACUUAUAAGAAUCGCAUGAUUUUUAUAUAAAAGGAGCGUUUGCUUCACUAGAGGAUCGGGGUGCGGAACAUUAGCUAGUUGGUAAGGUAAUGGCUUACCAAGGCGAUGAUGUUUAGCGGGGUUGAGAGACUGAUCCGCCACACUGGGACUGAGAUACGGCCCAGACUCCUACGGGAGGCAGCAGUAGGGAAUUUUCCACAAUGGACGAAAGUCUGAUGGAGCGACACAGCGUGUGCGAUGACGGCCUUCGGGUUGUAAAGCACUGUUAUAAGGGAAGAAAAAGCAGUAGAGGAAAUGCUAUUGCCUUGACGGUACCUUGUCAGAAAGCAACGGCUAACUAUGUGCCAGCAGCCGCGGUAAUACAUAGGUUGCAAGCGUUAUCCGGAAUUAUUGGGCGUAAAGCGUCUGUAGGUUGUUUGUUAAGUCUGACGUCAAAACUUGGGGCUCAACCCCAAAUCGCGUUGGAUACUGGCAAACUAGAGUUAUUUAGAGGUUAAUGGAAUUCCUUGUGAAGCGGUGGAAUGCGUAGAUAUAAGGAAGAACACCAACAUGGCGAAGGCAAUUAACUGGGAAUACACUGACACUGAGAGACGACAGCGUGGGGAGCGAACAGGAUUAGAUACCCUGGUAGUCCACGCCGUAAACGAUGAUGAUUAGCUGAUGGAAACCAUCGGCGCCGCUAACGCAUUAAUCAUCCGCUGAGUAGUAUGCACGCAAGUUGAAACUUAAGUAUUGACGGGAUCCGCACAGCGUUGAGCAUGUGUAUUGAGAUACGCGUAGA
rnacentral:rRNA from 1 species